AGGGCUUAAGGCGGAUGCCUAGGCGCCAAGAACAGACGAAGGACGUGGCCAGCUGCGAAAAGCUGUGGGGAGCUGCAAGCAAGCAUUGAUCCGCAGAUAUCCGAAUGGGAGAACCUGCUAUGUGAGAUACGCAUAGCGUCCGUAUCUGAAUAUAUAGGAUAUAGGACUGGAACCCAGGGAACUGAACCAUCUAAGUACCUGGAGGAAAAGAAAGUAAUAACGAUUCCCUUAGUAGCGGCGAGCGAAUGGGGAGUAGCCUAAACCGAUAAUGUGUUAAAAUCUGACAGUGUUGCAUUAUUGGUGUCGUGGGGUCUACAGUUUAACUAUGUCAGUAGUUAGAAUUGAGACUUGGCUAGUGUAGUAGAAAAUGUUUGGAAGGACAUACGAUACAGGGUGAUAGUCCCGUAUACGACAUGCUAGGAGCUUAAUAUGUAGAAACCCGAGUACUACAGGAUCUGGGAAAGCCUGUGGGAAUUUGCGUGAACCGUCACGUAAGGCUAAAUAUUACUUGGCGACCGAUAGUGAAGCAGUACCGUGAGGGAAAGGUGAAAAGUAUGCCGGCGAGGCAAGUGAAAUAGAACCUGAAACCUUGAGCCUACAAUCAGUUGGAGGGCUAUGGUAAUCUACGGAUUACAAUGCCUGACAGCGUGCCUAUAGAAGAAUGAUCCGACGAGUUACUGUAUAUAGCGAGGUUAAGUUGAAUAUAACGGAGCCGUAGCGAAAGCGAGUCUGAAUAGGGCGAUAGUUGUGUAUAGUAGACCCGAAACUAGGUGAGCUACCCUUGGCCAGGAUGAAGCUUUGGUAACACAAAGUGGAGGUCCCAACACCUCAACGUUGAAAAGUUGAGUGAUGAGCUGUGGGUAGGGGUGAAAAGCCAAUCGAACUUAGAGAUAGCUGGUUCUCUCCGAAAUAGCUUUAGGGCUAGCCUCGGUUAAGAGUCUUAUGGGGGUAAAGCACUGAAUGGGCUAGGGGGCACACCAGCUUACCAACCCCAAUCAAACUCUGAAUACCAUAAGAUGUUUACCGGGAGUCAGGCAGUGUGAGAUAAGUUUCAUUGUCUCGAGGGAAACAACCCAGACCGUCGGUUAAGGUCCUUAAGUGUAUGCUAAGUGGGAAAGGAUGUGUAGAUCCCUAGACAGCCAGGAGGUUGGCUUAGAAGCAGCCAUUCCUUUAAAGAGUGCGUAAUAGCUCACUGGUCGAGGGUUUAUGCGCCGAAAAUGUAACGGGGCUAAAGCAUACCACCGAAGCCACGGGUUAGUUAGUUAUUAGUAGCUAAUUAGCGGUAGGAGAGCGUUCUGUUCUGGUAGAAGGUAUACCGUGAGGAGUGCUGGACGGGACAGAAGUGAGAAUGUCGGAACGAGUAGCGAUAAGACAAGUGAGAAACUUGUUCGCCGAAAACCUAAGGUUUCCUGGGGAAGGUUAAUCCACCCAGGGUUAGUCGGUCCUAAGCUGAGGCUGAAAGGCGUAGGUGAAGGGAAGCAGGUUGAUACUCCGCACCAUGAAUGAGUUAAUUUAUCGAUGGAGAGACGCAGAAGGGUAUACCCGCACGGCAGGAAGCUGUGUAGAGUUGUGUAGGCAGGUAUAUAGGCAAAUCCGUAUACUGCAAACGCUGAGGCAAUUUAUGUAGCCGAAAGAAGUAGGUUAUAGGAGUAGGUCCCAGGCUGCCGAGAAAAUCUUCUAAGAGAGACUUAUUUGUGACCGUACCGCAAACCGACACAGGUAGGAAGGGUGAGAAUCCUAAGGCGCUCGAAAGAACACACGUUAAGGAAUUAGGCAAAUUGACUCCGUAACUUCGGGAGAAGGAGUGCUCCGUGUAUGGUGACAUGAUAUGCAAUGAGUAAUCAAUGUAUCAUCUGGUAGCCAGAGGGAGUCGCAGUGAAUAGGCUCAGGCGACUGUUUAUCAAAAACAUAGGACUCUGCUAAAGCUUAAAGCCGACGUAUAGGGUCUGACACCUGCCCAAUGCUGGAAGGUUACGAGGAGUGGUUAGGACAUUCGUGUCCGAAGCUAUGAAUUUAAGCCCCAGUGAAUGGCGGCCGUAACUAUAACGGUCCUAAGGUAGCGAAAUCCCUUGUCAGGUAAGUUCUGACCCGCAUGAAUGGUGCAACGGUCUGAGCACUGUCUCAACGUGUGGUUCGGCGAAACUGUGCACCGGGUGAAGACGCCCGGUAUCCGCAUCAGGACAAAAAGACCCCGUGGAGCUUUACUACAGCUUGAUAUUGGAUUUUGGUCUGUUAUGUAGAGAAUAGGUGGGAGACUAAGAAUAUGGGGCGCCAGCUUCGUAGGAGUCACCUGUGGAAUACCACCCUUAGCAGCCUGGAAUUCUAACCAUGAUCCUUGAAUCAGGAUUUGGGACAUUGUCAGGCGGGUAGUUUGACUGGGGCGGUCGCCUCCAAAAGAGUAACGGAGGCGUUCAAAGGUUCCCUCAGCCUGAUUGGAAACCAGGCGUAGAGUGUAAAGGCACAAGGGAGCUUGACUGUGAGACAGACGAGUCGAGCAGGGACGAAAGUCGGACUUAGUGAUCCGGUGGUACCGCAUGGAAGGGCCAUCGCUCAACGGAUAAAAGCUACCCCGGGGAUAACAGGCUUAUUUCUCCCAAGAGUUCAUAUCGACGGAGAAGUUUGGCACCUCGAUGUCGGCUCAUCGCAUCCUGGGGCUGGAGUAGGUCCCAAGGGUUGGGCUGUUCGCCCAUUAAAGCGGUACGCGAGCUGGGUUCAGAACGUCGUGAGACAGUUCGGUCUCUAUCCGAUGCGGACGUAGGAUGAUUGCGGGGCUCUGCUCUUAGUACGAGAGGACCGGAGUGGACAGAGCGCUGGUGAACCGGUUGUUAUAUCAGUAGCAUCGCCGGGUAGCUAACUCUGGACGGGAUAACCGCUGAAGGCAUCUAAGUGGGAAACCCACCUCAAGAUAAAUCAUCCCAAUCGAUAGU
rnacentral:rRNA from 1 species